CAGUCGCCGCGGUAAUACGAAGGGGGCUAGCGUUGUUCGGAUUUACUGGGCGUAAAGCGCACGUAGGCGGACUUUUAAGUCAGGGGUGAAAUCCCGGGGCUCAACCCCGGAACUGCCUUUGAUACUGGAAGUCUUGAGUAUGGUAGAGGUGAGUGGAAUUCCGAGUGUAGAGGUGAAAUUCGUAGAUAUUCGGAGGAACACCAGUGGCGAAGGCGGCUCACUGGACCAUUACUGACGCUGAGGUGCGAAAGCGUGGGGAGCAAGCAGGAUUAGAUACCCCCGUAGUCCCUGUCUCUUAUAA
rnacentral:rRNA from 1 species